rnacentral:rRNA from 1 species
UGAACGCUGGCGGCAGCUUUAAUACAUGCAAGUCGAGCGAGAAAGUUUCUUCGGAAACGAGUAAAGCGGCGAACGGGUGAGUAACGCGUAGGAAUCUACCAUUCAGCGGGGGAUAGCUCGGGGAAACUCGAAUUAAUACCGCAUACACCCUACGGGGGAAAGAAGGCCUAUCCUUGGAAGCUUUCACUGUUUGAUGAGCCUGCGUGAGAUUAGUUUGUUGGUGAGGUAAUGGCUCACCAAGACUACGAUCUCUAGCUGGUCUGAGAGGACGAUCAGCCACACUGGGACUGAGACACGGCCCAGACUCCUACGGGAGGCAGCAGUAGAGAAUAUUGGACAAUGGGGGCAACCCUGAUCCAGGCAUGCCGCGUGUGUGAAGAAGGCCUUAGGGUUGUAAAGCACUUUAGGUAAGGAAGAAAAGUUAAUAGUUAAUACCUAUUAACCGUGACAUUACUACAGAAUAAGGACCGGCUA